UGGGGAAUAUUGGACAAUGGGGGCAACCCUGAUCCAGCAAUUCCGCGUGUGUGAAGAAGGCCUUCGGGUUGUAAAGCACUUUGGACGGGGAAGAAGGUUAUUAGUUUAAGAGAUGAAUAAUUUGACGGUACCCGUAGAACAAGCACCGGCUAACUCUGUGCCAGCAGCCGCGGUAAUACAGAGGGUGCGAGCGUUAAUCGGAAUUACUGGGCGUAAAGGGCGCGUAGGCGGUCUGACAAGUGAGAUGUGAAAUCCCCGAGCUUAACUUGGGAACUGCAUCUUAAACUGUCGGGCUGGAGUACUGUAGAGGAUAGUGGAAUUUCCGGUGUAGCGGUGAAAUGCGUAGAGAUCGGAAGGAACACCAGUGGCGAAGGCGACUGUCUGGACAGAUACUGACGCUGAGGCGCGAAAGCGUGGGGAGCAAACAG
rnacentral:rRNA from 1 species